UACAGAGGUCCCAAGCGUUGUUCGGAUUCAUUGGGCGUAAAGGGUGCGUAGGCGGCGCGGUAAGUCGGGUGUGAAAUCUCGGGGCUUAACUCCGAAACUGCAUUCGAUACUGCCGUGCUUGAGGACUGGAGAGGAGACUGGAAUUUACGGUGUAGCGGUGAAAUGCGUAGAUAUCGUAAGGAAGACCAGUGGCGAAGGCGGGUCUCUGGGUCGUACCUGACGCUGAGGCGCGAAAGCGUGGGGGGCGAACGGG
rnacentral:rRNA from 1 species